AAGAUAAUGACUGUACCCUAAGAAUAAGGUCCGGCUAACUUCGUGCCAGCAGCCGCGGUAAUACGAAGGGACCUAGCGUAGUUCGGAAUUACUGGGCGUAAAGCGCGCGUAGGCCGUUGAGUUAGUUAAUUGUGAAAUCCCAAAGCUUAACUUUGGAACUGCAAUUAAAACUGCUCGACUAGAGUUUGAUAGAGGAAAGCGGAAUACAUAGUGUAGAGGUGAAAUUCGUAGAUAUUAUGUAGAACACCAGUUGCGAAGGCGGCUUUCUGGAUCACACUGACGCUGAGGCGCGAAAGUAUGGGUAGCAAAGAGGAUAGAUACCCUCGUAGUCCAUACCAUAAACGAUGAUGCUAGAUGUUGGAAAUUUAUUUCUGUAUCGCUGCUAACG
rnacentral:rRNA from 1 species